rnacentral:rRNA from 1 species
AACGAACGCUGGCGGCGUGGAUUAGGCAUGCAAGUCGAACGCGAAAGGGGAGCAAUCCCUGAGUAGAGUGGCGAACUGGUGAGUAACAGGUGGGCAAUGUGCCCCAAAGUGGGGGAUAACUCCGAGAAAUCGGAGCUAAUACCGCAUGUGGCGUCAAGGACCUCGGUUCAUGACGUUAAAGGAGCAAUUCGCUUUGGGAUCGGCCCGCCCCCGAUUAG